UACAGAGGAGCCAAGCGUUGUCCGGAUUGACUGGGCGUAAAGCGCACGCAGGCGGCACCGCGCGUGGGGUGUGAAAUCUGGCCGCUUAACGGCCAGGCGCCAUCCCAUACGGCGGAGCUGGAGUGAUGCAGAGGUCGAUGGAAUUGCCGGUGUAGUGGUGAAAUGCGUAGAUAUCUGGAGGAAUACCGGUGGCGAAGGUGGCAUCCUGGACCGGCAUUGACGCUGAGGAGCGAAAGCUAGGGGAGCAAACGGG
rnacentral:rRNA from 1 species